AUACCAAUGAUACAGCCUGAAAUUCAGACCAUACUGAUGGCUUGACUGAGGUUUGGAUUGGUUUGAUCCGGUAUGGUUGGCCGGGCGGUAGCGAUAGGCGAUGGAUGGUGCUGUUUGUACCUGAAACAAAAGUAAAUAUUUUUAUGAUUUUUUAUGGUUUUAAUACGAUGAAACAGAGAAUAAACUAUAUGAUGAAUGAUGAACAAGAACAAGAUAUGGUUCAGAUGAAACAUGAACUAGAUGGGUGAUUGAUGAUGAGAUGAUGUGCAAUAUGAAAUAAAAGAGAAACAAAGAGAUAGAACGAUGGCAGAUGGGAUCUAUUGUUGGAUGUGUAUCUCUCUCAACAGAUCAGUGGAUGAAAGAUGAAUGAAGAUAGGAUUUGGCUUGCUGGAUGUGUAUC
rnacentral:lncRNA from 1 species